GUUGAUUUUUUUUCUUAUUUACCGUUUAUUUAGCGCCUUUCUUUGCGCUGCUUUCAUAAUUUGUUUGUAGAGAGGAUUUCUCCUAUAUUAGUGCACCUUUUUUUUAUAUAUAUAGUUGCUGUUUUAUCACAAAGAGCUGGAAAGCUUUGAUGGCGUGCGAUUUGACUGUAGAUUCCAUCAUGGAAAAUACCAGUGAGAAUGGCUGCUGUGACGCCUGACCAAAAAAGUUCAAUGAUAUCAGUUGCUCAGCUGAAGUCAAAAUACCUCAGGACAAGACAAGAGGAGGAUAUUAUCCAUAAGCUUAUUGUAGAUUGAUGAUUCUAUUGCAAUCCAGGACCAGGUAAACACUUGUGUUCUUAUGCAAUGAUCAAAUCAAAACAUAACCUGGUUCCUUCAGGGGAUUAUCCCCCAUAGGGCGUCCUUACAGGGUACCCCAAAUCAUCAAAAAUAGGAUCAUCAAAUUCUAGGGCAGGAAAAAAUUAAAAUGUACCACUUUUUUCCCUUUUUUUAAAUGAUGCACUAUUAUUAUAGGUUGCCACAGGUCAGGAUCCAAAUUGUCAGGGAAAUUUUUAUUUUUCAAAAGCGGGGAAAAUUCAGGGAUAAAUGGAGAAAAUGGGAAGGUUCCCUUUUGUACACCUUGGAAAAAAAAAAACUAGACCAAACUACUAACUCACUCCAUUCAAAUUAAAACCCAUAGUACAACACACUUUCAACACCUGACCACCAAACUAACUAAGAACAGAUACUGCUCAACUUACAGUUUUAGGGGAUGACACUUCAAAAGUGGCAUGGUGAAAUGUUUCUUAUAUUGUUAUCAAAUUUUGAUAAGCAUGAUAAGACUCAACUUUUGGCAAAGUUUAACAAAAUUUCGUACUUAGGGUUCA